rnacentral:snRNA from 11 species
AUACUUACCUGGCGCAGGGGUUAACCGUGAUCAUGAAGGCGGUUCCCCCAGGGCGAGACGACGUCAUUGCACUUCGACGCUGUUGACCUCUGCGAGUAUCUCAAACGUAGAUACCUCGGGCGUAUAAUUUUUGAUAGUCGGGCUAGCGUUCGCGCUGGCCCGG